rnacentral:tRNA from 1 species
AAGGGUAUAGCUCAGUGGUAGAGUAUGCGCUUAGCUUGCACAAGGUCCUGGGUUCAAUCCCCAGCACCUCCA